rnacentral:rRNA from 1 species
AGAGUUUGAUCCUGGCUCAGGAUGAACGCUGGCGGCGUGCUUAACACAUGCAAGUCGAACGAAGCAUUUAAAACAGAUUUCUUCGGAUUGAAGUUUUUUAUGACUGAGUGGCGGACGGGUGAGUAACGCGUGGGUAACCUGCCUUAUACUGGGGGAUAGCAGCUGGAAACGGCUGGUAAUACCGCAUGAGCGCACAGUGACACAUGUCACGGUGUGAAAAACUCCGGUGGUAUAAGAUGGACCCGCGUCUGAUUAGUUAGUUGGUGAGGUAACGGCCCACCAAGACCGCGAUCAGUAGCCGACCUGAGAGGGUGACCGGCCACAUUGGGACUGAGACACGGCCCAGACUCCUACGGGAGGCAGCAGUGGGGAAUAUUGCACAAUGGAGGAAACUCUGAUGCAGCGACGCCGCGUGAGUGAAGAAGUAUUUCGGUAUGUAAAGCUCUAUCAGCAGGGAAGAUAGUGACGGUACCUGACUAAGAAGCACCGGCUAAAUACGUGCCAGCAGCCGCGGUAAUACGUAUGGUGCAGGCGUUAUCCGGAUUUACUGGGUGUAAAGGGAGUGUAGGUGGUCUGACAAGUCAGAGGUGAAAGCCCGGGGCUCAACCCCGGGACUGCCUUUUGAAACUGUCAGACUAGAGUGCAGGAGAGGUAAGUGGAAUUCCUAGUGGUAGCGGGUGAAAAUGCGUAUAUAAUUAGGAAGGAACACCCGUGGGCAAAGGGGGGCUUACUGGAACGGUAACUGGCCCCUGAGGCUCCAAAAGCGGGGGGGGAACAAAAAG